CCCUUAGAUGUUCUGGGCGGCCCGCGCACUACAAUGGCGCUUUCAGCGAGUUCCUAUGUUGAAUUUUCCUGGGUAUUCUUGGAAGCGGCGUCUUGACUUGGGAUAGAUCCUUGUAAUUGUUGGUUUUGAACGAGGAAUUCCUUGUAAUCGCGGUUGAUCAGCUCGCGUUGAAUACGUCCCUGCCCUUUGUACACACCGCCCGUCGCUACUACCGAUUGAAUGGUUUAGUGAGAUCCUUGGAUCGGCCCUGUCGCGGCUGGCAACGGCCGCGUCGGCGCGUCGAGAAGACGAUCAAACUUGAUCAUUUAGAGGAAGUAAAAGUCGUAACA
rnacentral:rRNA from 1 species